rnacentral:ncRNA from 1 species
CACACAGGUUUGGUCCCCACCUUGAAAUCAAUUCUUACUUGACUUACACAUGCAAGUCUCCGCACACCCGUGAAAACGCCCCUACCUCCACCUAGGAGUAAGGAGCUGAUAUCAGGCACAUAACUCUUGCCCAAGACAUCUAGCCAUGCCACACCCAUAAGGGCCCUCAGCAGUGAUUAACAUUAAAAAUAAACGUCAGUUUGACCUAGCCAAUGUAAACAGAGCCGGCCAAUCUGGUGCCAGCCGCCGCGGUUACACCACGUGGCUCAAAUUGAUCCCAUACGGCGUAAAGCGUGAUUAAAGCUACAAACCCCCUACUGGGGUUAAACUUAAACUAAGCUGUAGCACGCUUGUUUUUGAGAAAGCCUGCCUCGAAAGAUACCCCAACCUACUAACUUGAACUCACGAUAGCUGGGAAACAAACUGGGAUUAGAUACCCCACUAUGCCCAGCCAUAAACUUUUACUUACACCUACAACGCCAGGGAACUACGAGCAAAGCUUAAAACCCAAAGGACUUGACGGUACUCCACAUCCCCCUAGAGGAGCCUGUCCUACAACCGAUACCCCCCGUUUAACCUCACCACUUUUAGUCCAUCAGCCUGUAUACUUCCGUCGCCAGCUUACCGCAUGAGCGCACAGUAAGCUCAAUGUCACCCACCAACACGUCAGGUCAAAGUGCAGCUAAUAAAGUGGCAAGAGAUGGGCUACACUCUCUAUCAUAGAAAACACAAAAGACCAUGUGAAACCAUGGCCAGAAGGUGGAUUUAGUAGUAAGAAAAGAGUAGAAUACCCUUCUUAACCCGGCACUGGAGUGUGUACACACCGCCCGUCACCCUCUUCAACAGAUCUAAUCAGUAUUUAACAACUAACUUCUAAGUAGAAGAGGUAAGUCGUAACAUGGUAAGUAUACCGGAAGGUGUGCUUGGAAA